UCGGCAGCUCAGCCAGAUGUCCUGAAACCAGAGCCGGAGUCAGCGCCAGCCAGAGCCAAAGCCAUAGCGAUAGCCGGACUCGGACCCAGAGCCCGACACAGAGCCCAGUGCCAUUGCACGGGGCUACGGCAACGGCUGCUGCUCGCACGACACCGCCAAAAAGGCAAAAGUCCAACCCGACCGGUUCCGACCCCGAACGAGCGCAGCAUCUCCUGAAAAAGUGGAAUACAAAUGAAUAGGAAAACGGCUCGGCUCGGUUCAGUUACGCGCAAGAUUUCAACACAAAUCGUAGCACAUUUCACGGCGGCAGACGCGGCGUGCGCAGCGCACGGGCAGAUUGCACCCAAGGCAGAAAAAUGUAAAAACACAGCCGCCCCACCUUCAAGACAGUCUCAAAAGCGCACAAAAAAAAAAAGAAAUAUAGCCAAUGAAAUAAAUAAUAAAUUAUAGCUUAAGCUUUCGACCUUAAAACGAAACGAAACGCACAAAAAAACAAGCCAAAUCAAAUCGAAAUAAGUAAUUGUUUAAACAUUAAAAUAGAGGAAGAAAUCACAAGGAAUUGGAUA